AGCUUCAAGAACUAACAAUUUCCUGGUCCAACAGUCUUUUAUGAUUAGCAUGCAUCAUAGCAUUUAUAGUAAAAGCACCUCUCUAUGGAAUCCACCUAGAACUCCCAAAAGCCCAUGUAGAGGUCCCGAUUGCUGGGCCAAUAGUCUCCACAGCAGUACUCCUAAAAUUAGGUGGCUAUGGGAUUAUAAGAAUCACCCUAAUCCUUAACCCCUUAACAGAGUUUAUAGCUUAUUCCUCCCUCAUACUAUCCCUAUGAGGAAUAAUCAUAACAAGCUCAAUUUUUCUGUGCCAAACUGAUCUAAAAUCACUCAUUACUUAUUCCUCCAUAAGCCACAUGUCACUUAUUAUCAUGGCUAUUCUCAUUAAAACCCCCUGAAGUUUUACCGGUGCAACUGCCCUAAUAAUUACCCAUGGACUAACCUCAUCCCUAUUAUUCUGCCUUGCAAAUUCCAACUACAAACAAGUACACAACUAAAC
rnacentral:lncRNA from 1 species